rnacentral:rRNA from 1 species
GCAUAUCAAUAAGCGGAGGAAAAGAAACUAACAAGGAUUCCCCUAGUAACUGCGAGUGAAGCGGGAGAAGCUCAAAUUUAAAAUCUGAUGGUCUUUAUGGCCUUCCGAGUUGUAAUCUAGAGAAGUGCUAUCCGCGCUGGACCGUGUAAAGGUUCUUCCUGAAA